GACGAACGCUGGCGGCGUGCUUAACACAUGCAAGUCGAACGGAAAGGCCCUGCUUUUGUGGGGUGCUCGAGUGGCGAACGGGUGAGUAACACGUGAGUAACCUGCCCUUGACUUUGGGAUAACUUCAGGAAACUGGGGCUAAUACCGGAUAGGAGCUCCUGCUGCAUGGUGGGGGUUGGAAAGUUUCGGCGGUUGGGGAUGGACUCGCGGCUUAUCAGCUUGUUGGUGGGGUAGUGGCUUACCAAGGGUUUGACGGGUAGCCGGCCUGAGAGGGUGAACGGCCACAUUGGGACUGAGAUACGGCCCAGACGCCUACGGGAGGCAGCAGUGGGGAAUAUUGCACAAUGGGCGGAAGCCUGAUGCAGCAACGCCGCGUGCGGGAUGACGGCCUUCGGGUUGUAAACCGCUUUCGCCUGUGACGAAGCGUGAGUGACGGUAAUGGGUAAAGAAGCACCGGCUAACUACGUG
rnacentral:rRNA from 1 species